AAUUAAAAUAAUCUCUGACUUGGCAAUUAUUCUUUUUCUAAUUAUCAAUAUUGUUUUUUUGUAAAAUUUUUCUGGAUAAAUUUUGGAUAAAUUUUUCAACUUUGACACAAUUAAGGUCCGAAUUUGAUAAUUUUCGUUUUUGAUACACGAAAAGGAUAUUUCAUGGCCGUGUGUUUUAUACCUUAGCUAGGAAGGCCGUAAUAUUUAGAGAUGUGUCACCGCGAGAUAUCCUCUUAUCGCUGCGUUACCAUAGUUACGACUGAUAAUUGCUGAGUACACAAUGCAGCAGCCAUCCUGCCUUUAUGCCCUCCUUCGCGUUUUCAUGUUCCUCUGCACUUAAUAAUAUCAAGCGAUAUCACACGGCACGUAUUUCAACAUUUCAAAUAUAUAAAAGUACACCUGGACUCAAAAGUACGGCGCUGCGUAGAGCGAAUGAUCGUCAGUCAAUCACCUAAGCAGCCUCCUUAUCUCUAAGGGCCGACGCGCAUUAUUUGCUCAGGCCGCUUGAAACAAAACUCGUAAUCUCCGCAUUGAUGAUCAGAUCCCCUUUUUUUAUAUAAGAAAAACUAUAUUUUACAUAAAUAGGAAUAACGGCGACAAACUAAUUGCGAAAAACAGGCAGUUUAUUCAAAUGAGAUUUUUACAUUAGGUGUGUAAACGAGUUUUACAAAAUAUCAUUCUAAUUUAUAUUCAAACAAAAUGAGUAAAUUCAUUUAUCUUGAUCAGAAAAAUUCUUGUUCUCGGUUUUUUUAUACACUCAAUUAAUUAUUUGUCACUCGCAAACAAAUAUUAUUGCAUUCAACAAGCUCAGACUUUCUGCUAAUUGACUUGGGAUAACAUUAGGAAAUUUGGUGGAACGUCAGAUCUUUCAGACUUGACAAAAACAAUCAACACAUACAAUCUUCAGAUCAAUUGCAAACACUUGCGAGCUAAAAUAAAUUACAGAGUAAAACUUAAAGAAUCUCUUUUUUUUUUUAAAUAAAAAGCAAAAGCUGUCUCACUGUCUUUGCUUUAGAAAGAAAGAAAAACACUUCCAGCGUAACAUUAUUAGGUGAUAAGUCUCAGUUUGCAAUUUUUUUUCUUUUCAUUUCAGGCACUGAUGUUGGGGUAAAGUUUCAAAACUCUUAAAAAUAUCACUCUUUUUGCAGAGACCUAUCCAUUCAUCAGCUCUCAGCAUCAAACCAAUAUUUACAAAUGCAUUCUCAUUAUUAUUGACAGGAGCUGCUGGGCUACAUGUCAGGGUGGUCAUCGUCAGGCGUGCCCUUCUGCAGGUGGGCGCUCUCACUGAGAGGGUCCGAGUUGGCCGGCGAGAUGGGCGACGUCUGCUGGUAGCCCGAGGAGGGCGAGUGCUGGUGCUGCAUGGCGGUGAACGUGGAAAAUUCGGCCGCGUUUGGCCACUGCCGGUUCAGCAAGUUGAAGGCCUGCGAGCUGUGCAUGAGUCCGGUUGGUGCCAAGGGGUAGCUACUUAGCAUCGAGGACGCCGCUGCCGCUGCCGCCACCGCUUUGCUGCUGCUUCUGCGGUAGUCUGCAAAAAUUCAAAGGAGUGGCUUACCUGCUGAGGAUGCAUCAAGUUUGGACUGGUCUGCGUGGUGCGAUUUGGAGGUGCUGCUGCUGGUCUUUGGUUUGCGUUUCCGGGUCUGAAAUCGGGAGCCGAAAAUUAGCGGACCGCCCAUGGCAGGUCUGUUGACGCCGUGCAGCUUGAAGUAGAGACCACAUGCAUUGCACACGGGAUCCCCGCUGGUGUUGCGUCGCCACAGGGAUGUACUGCUCGUUUGGCAAUUCGAACAACUCAGCCCUGUUCUCCGUGAAGCAGACUGCAAAAAUGACCAUGGUAUAUAAGAAAAACGGUAAAUGAAUCGGGAUUUCUUGAAGAAAAUUUAACAAAACAGUAAAAUGUACUUAUUUAACUGAAAAAAAUUGAUUUAGUGUGGUUGAAAAAAAUCAACUUCAAGGAAAUUAUUUAUUUACAAUAAUUAAAUUUUUUUUUUCAAAAUUUCAAAUCAUCAAACACCUUGUUAAAGUUUAAAAUAAUAAAUUGGAUCGUCGGAGGAAACGAAAUCCCAUUGAGAAAUCAAAAAAAUUUUAAGUAUUUUCUUCAAAUAAAAAUAUCAGCAAUGUAUAAAAUACUUUAAUACAGUUUGUACAAAUUUGUGAAAAUUGCAAUCUACAGAGCGGUUGGAAGGUUUCUAAUGCUGGAUUUGUGUUAUUAAAUAGAUGAGAAUGCAAGCAGAAAAAAAUCCUGCGUGUCUCAAGCUCAAGGCAGAAUAUUUUAUUAAUUAAUUAGAGUUAUGCAACGCGGAUUUUGAGUUAUUUCAGAAGCAAAGCAACAAAUAUUAUAACAAUACAUAUUAAAAUCUUGGAUCAAAGAUCAAACAGCAGAUGAAUUAAAGAUUUUUUUAAGCUUUU